UACGUAGGGGGCUAGCGUUGUCCGGAAUCAUUGGGCGUAAAGAGCGUGUAGGCGGUCCGGUAAGUCCGCUGUGAAAGUCGGGGGCUCAACCUUUGAAAGCCGAUGGAUACUGUGAGGCUAGAGUCCGGAAGAGGCGAGUGGAAUUCCUGGUGUAGCGGUGGAAUGCGCAGAUAUCAGGAGGAACACCAAUAGCGAAGGCAGCUCGCUGGGACGGUACUGACGCUAAGGCGCGAAAGCGUGGGGAGCGAACAGG
rnacentral:rRNA from 1 species